AAAAAAAAAAAAAAACCCUUAAAAGCAAUACAAUGAUGCAAUUCUGGUGCGUAGUUUUUUAAGGGCUAACAGGAAUAAUUAAUUUAUAUUAUGAAAAAAAGGAAUAAUUUUUUUUUUCCCACAGUACCUGCUAUGUGGACAGGAAGAAAGUAACACUGGCUGAGAUGUUUUCCUACUCACUAAACAGGAGAAAAGUAAACUGAAGGACACAUAUUGAGGACUUUUCCCUUAAGAGAUCUCUUAGCAUGCAUUCCUUGAUUUGUAGAGCCAGGGAUAGUGAGAGUACGGUAUAACCAAAAACCAAACCCAGUGCCAUCGAGUCGAUCCCGACUCAUAGCGACCCUCAGGACAGAGUAGAACUGCCCCACAGAGUUUCCAAGGAGCGCCUAGACGGAUUCGAACUGCCGACCCUUUGGUUAGCAGCUGUAGCACUUAACCACUACGCCACCAGGGUUUCCGAGAGAGAAUAGUAUAGUCCAUGUAAAAAAGCAAAUACAACUUAGUAGGAUCUGCAGAGGUAGGGGAUGUGAAAAUCAAGCAUAUCUUAUUGCAAGCAGUCUGGGAGGUUUGAAUUAUCAGCAGGGCUGCCUGAGGAAAAAUAGCCCUUGGAUGAUAGAGUUCUGUCUUAUGGGGUCGCUGUGAGUCAGAAUGCACUCACAACAAAGGGUAUGCUUUAGGUACGAAGCCUUUAGGGUGCAAGGCUAAGCCCGCCCUGCUUGAGGAGCUCACGCAUGCGCACAGCCUCCUGAGACAAGGCUCUGGGGCGCGCGAACUGCCACCUCUAACGGCCUCAGGCGUCAGUUGCAGAAGGUCCCCUUCACUGAGGCGCGAGGCAGGAGCAGGGAAGGCAGGGUCCCUAAGGGUAGGUCUCGCUCUGGGCUGGGCUGUGCCAGGGGAGGCCUCAGACCCUGCACACAGGAGCGCACCGCUCUUCCGCUUUCUCUUAGGUAAGUUCUAUUACAAAGGAAGGGAAGGGGCACGCAAACAUCCUUGGUAAUGUUGCUGCUAUGCUUUACCCUCCUGUAGGCUCUUGGGUUAUUUGCAGGUGGGCUUUGCAUUGGGAGACCCCCUUUCCUGGUGUAGAAUUCAGCGCUCUCAGGUUGCUAGCGUGCCCUGUGCUGGCAGUAUUUAUACCACGGGAAAUGGCAAAGGCUGCACCUCAGGACUGCAGUGAUUGUUUUCCUAACUGGUGGACUGAAAAUGAGGGGGGAACUUUCAAUAAUGACUCUUCAAACUGACAAGUGUGUCAUUAUCUGUUGCAUUUUGAAUAAUACCUAAUUUUGAAAAAUAAGGAUUUGAAAAGCACUCUCUGUUUAAGCACAGAAAGAGCUCGUGUCAAGGGAAAUUCUGUCAAGUUCCAGCCUAGGACCUCAUGUCUCUUAGGUCUUCCUUGUUAACAUAAGAAACAUAUCAACCAACAUUCAUGUUCAAAUGACACUGCUUUGCUGAGGAAGUGAGUGACUUUGCUGAAUUGACUAAAACCAAGCAUUUAUUUGUAGUGUCGUGCAUGGAAUCAUGACUGACUUGCAAGCAUGGUGGGUUAAGGAUGCAGCAGAUUUUCCAAGAUCUACAAAAGCACCCUGCUAAUGAUGUGUGUAUAAAAGAUUUCCAGUCACGAGUACUGCAUGUUUGACUGAAAUCAGUAAAUUCUGUGUCACUCCUCCAUGUGUAUCUGGGAGAUUUUAUAUGUAUGAUUCUGCAGAAAGCCAGUGUGAGUGUGUAAUCCUUUGCCAGCACACAACUGUGUGUGCAUUUGAGGCUGUAAGUUGCUGCAUUUGUGUUUCUAUCCUGGACUGAGUGUCUGUGGGUGUAUUUGGAAUGUGAGGCACGUGUGUAUAUUAAUAGGCUGUCGGGGGUCAGUGUUUGUUUGAGGAGAUGCAAAAGUUUUGCAUUUGUUUUUUGAGGGUGGAUACUUGUGUGGUGGUGUGUAUAACUUGAAAUAGGACAGAGAUGUAGUUGUGAGCUUCGUAGGGAUUGUGAGAAUUGAGGGUUGUGGGUACUUCUGUGCCCGUUAUUUGGGACUCUGUUGGCCAUGUGUUUCUGUGAAUUCACAGUUUGGGAGUUGUGUAUGUGUGAAUGGGUUCGCGGGAAGUUGGUAUUUGUAUGUGUGGGUUGGCGGUGUCUGUAUGAAUAUUUGUGGUUCAGUAUGAGUGUGUUUUGUGGGAGUGUGCAGGGCAUGAGAUACAGGUGUGUGCACUCAAAGACUUGAAGGUGAGCUCUUUACAAUUUGUGGCUGGAGGGAAUACUUAGGGCAUGGCUCUCCUGCCAUAGAUUUUGGGUCAUUCUGUGUACCUAAUAGCAGGUUUGGAAUGGGUUUCUCAGCUUUACGUUUGGGCAUCUGAGGGAGUGUGCCUGUGUGUAUUAGUUUGGGUGUAGGGCCUGUUCUUUUUUAUAUUUGGGGACUGAGAGAGGAUCACCGGUGUGUAGUCAGGGCAUAUUGUACAUUUGUGUUGCUUUGGGUGCUUUUCUGGAGUUGCACAUGAAUUCUUCCAUGUUCGGUCUGGGGUUUGUGUGAUUCUGUACACUAGAAAAUUUGAAAUUGAUUUCUGUUUGAGUAUUUUGGAUUGUUGGAUUAUGUGUAGACAGGCAUUAUGAGGGUUUAUUGGCGUUGGAAGAUACAGGGUCAUUGUUGCAUACUUUCAGUUCCCUGGAUAAUUUAGGUUAGAUUUAGGGUAUAAGGCCAGUUGUAUGGGUAAAGAACUUGUGUGUUUCAUGAAGGGGCAUGGCUGUUUGGAUGACUAUUUUCCAGGGCUGUGUGUAAUAUUUUUCAGUAGAGAGUAUGGUGUAUUCUGGAAAAUGAGGAGGUGUGUAUCUGAUGAAAAUAUGGGGCUGUGUAUUUGCACAGGGUGUGGGAGAAUUGUUUUUACAUGUAGUAGAGGCACGUUGAUAUGGUUAUGUGUGAGAUAUUGAGAAUGUGGCUGUUUCGGAACGUGAGAUAUGGACCUGGAACAGGGUUCCAGUGUAUUUAUUCAGGAUGUGCAAGAGAUAUCUCAUUGUAAGUGGGGAGUAUAUACUGGUGUGUGUAAGUCACGAGUGGGAGGGUGAAUUAUUCUUGGAGUAUUCUACAAGUGUUUCUUUGGAGAAUGUUAGGGUGUUUCUAGAUGUGUGUGUUUGGGCAUGUUCGGAGGUUGGGAAAUGAGGCUAUAUUCUAGAGACGUGAUAAUCUAUAGUGUUUUGGGUGAUGUAUACUUUGAGAAAUUGAGGCUGUUUACAUGUGUGUAUGUGUCUGUGUGUGUUGUGUCUGGCAUGUGUGAACACGUGGCCGCUUAGGGGCGUGGGUUGUGUGUGUAUAUUAGCUAGACUGCAAGGAUUGUUGGUGUUUUGGAGUUUUAUCUGCAUCUAUACAUGUGUGGGGUGUAUAUACAUGGUUGGGUUAUGGGUGAGUGUGUGGGGGGUUUGUGUCUGUAUGAAAGCAGCCAGCAUUUCUCUUUGUGCCUAUUCUGGUCUAAUUCUUGCAGAAUUUGGUGGUAUAGCUUGUAUGUACAUUUUCAAUGUUCAUGUGAUGUACUUACAUAUAUUAAUACUAAGGGUCGUAUGUGGUUGUGUGUUUAUUUGGUUUCACUAGUUUUCAGAGCUGUUUGUUCUGGAGGAUGUGGGAGAUUCAGGAUGUACAUCUGGAAACUGAGAAGAUUUAUAUAAAUUGUGCAUGCAUUUUGGAAUUUGUGUAUUAUAAGUGUUUUAGAGAUGUGGGUUUUAGUGUGUGUCUGUAUUAGUGUGGCUUAUGAAGUGAGAUUUUGAACAUGGUGGUGUCAGAGAGCUAGAUUGUGUGUAGUGUUUGUUGUACAUGUGUGUGUUCAGGCACGUGUGGAGAGCAUACACAUCGUUGUAGUAACAAGUGUGAGUGUUCACGGUCCGUAGGGUUUUUGUCAUAAAACUAUUAGCAGUAAGAUGUGGUAUGUUUGUAUAUUCAGGUUGUGGGUCGAGGUUGUAUGUGUGUGUUCAGGCGUUGUGAGCUGUGUGUUCUGGAGAUGUAUAGUGAGAUUUGGUUUACAUAUUAUGGGAGGGAGUUAAAGGUCCUUCUCAUGGUGCAGGUGGAAUGUGUGUACAUGUUAAUAGGAAAGUGGAUCAUGUAUGUUGGCAUCGGCUCCUAUUAACUUGGGAUAGUAGGUGGUGCUUAUCUCUGCCCAUUGGGGGUCAAUGACAUCAGGCUGGUACCUUGAAAUUAGCCGUGGCAGGAUUACUUCUAUCAGGUGAGUUGUCAGUCUUUACAAAGCAGACUUGCAGCACUCCCAGUGGAGAGUGAAUUGGUAAAUAUCUACCAACACAUCAUUGGUCAGUGUGUGUGUGUGUGUGUGUGUGUGUCUUUCUGUCGGUGUAUGUGCCUGUGUGUCAAUCGAAUUUGUUAAGCAAGAACAUGUAGACAUCAUUGGUGUACUCUAUUGGAGAUUGUGAGUGGAGCAUUUGGGGGACUUAGGCCCUUCUAUGUGUCCCUGGAAAAGAGGUGUGGCAAUAUUGUAUCCUUUCAUCUCACUUUUUCAAUCUCUAUGGGGUUUUGGAUGCCUAACAAAUAAUCUGAGAAGCCAGAAUAUAUGAGGAAGAAUGGGGCAUCAGCAUUGGAGGAAUGUCAUUGACAACCUGGGAUACGCAGAUGACACUUGCAUGCUGAAAAUGAAGAAAACUUGAAUAACUACUUGAUGAAGUUCAGAGACCACAGCCUUCAGUGUGGAUUACACUUCAACAUAAUGAAAAUGAAAAUCUUCACUCUGGACAACCAAAGUGGCCUCAGGAUCCAAAAGAUAGAAUGAAAUGGGUUUCCUCUGGUGUGUCUGAUCAGUUGGUUCAGAUCCCCACCUUCCCAGGCAGUUCAGUGGGAGUGGCAGAAGCAACGCAGGGGUUUAGGUCAGCUUCAGACACACCACGUGAUGUCAAAUGACCAUGGCGGUCCCAAGGUGACUGCACACACGCCUCCUACCACACUUGGACCCAGCAAAGGACUUCUGCACCUUCUGAUUACUGCUGUCUUUGUUGGGGUAAGGAUGGAUCUCAUUGUACUUUCAUCUGCAUUUUUCUGAAGGCUAAUGAUCAUGAGCAUUUCCUCAGGUAUGUCUUAACUUCCUAAAUGUCUUCUUUGGUGAAGUGACUGUUCAUGUUCCUUGCCCACUUUUUAAUUGGGUUAUAUGUCUUUUUGUUGUUCAGGUUUUCAAGUAUCUUGCAGAUUUUGGAGAUGAGAUGCUGAUCAGAUUUCUUGUAGCCAAAAUUUUUUUCCCACUCUGUACAUUGUCUUAUUACUGUUUUGGUGAAGUGUUUGGACGGGCAUAAGUGUUUGAUUUUUAGGAGCGCCAAGUUAUCUAGUUUCUCUUCUGGUGUUUGUGUCAUGUUAAUAAUGGUUUGUGUACUGUUUAUGCCGUGUAUUAGGUCUCCUAGUGUUGUCCCUGUUUUUUAUUCCAUGAUCUUUAUCGUUUUAGAUUUUAUAUUUAGGCCUUUGAUCCAUUUUGAGUUACUUUUUGUGCAUGGUUUGAAGUAUGGUUCUUGUUUCAUUUUUUUGCAGAUGAACACCCAGUUAUGCCAGCACCAUUUGUUCAAGAGGCUGUCCUUUCUCUAGUGGACAUUGGACCUUUGUCAAAUAUCAGCCCAGAGGAUGUGGCAGUCUCUGAAGCUGGCUUGGACAGAAUAUGGAGCAGGAAGGAGAUAUACGUCAUGAGAUGAAGAGAGAGUUUACCCUGAAGAAGAAAAGUGAAGCUUGCUGGGCUGUGCCCUGGCUGCCAUCAAGGGCAUAAGGAGGUUCAAGGAGGCAGAGUCCUGAUCAUCAUAGUUUUGGGAGACGGGCAAGGCAGAUCUGUUCUCUGGAUGAAGCUUCUUUUCCCAACAUCACAAAUCUUACUUGCAGAGGUCUCCAUCCAGAUCCCGGUUAGGAACUUCUCAACACAUGAAGGAGCUCACAGGCACCAAAUGCCAAACGACUGGAACACCCACUGCCCUGAACAUGGGGUCUAUGCAAAUGCCCAGACAGUCAGACAACUGAUGCCUCAGUGCUUCUCAGCCCUUCGUACCAAUCCUGCUCACAUCUUGCCUUCCACACUCCAGGCAUCCAGGUCCGCCAUGAACCUCAACAUGUCUCUGCUUCUCCUGGACUUUAUUGUUGUUGUGUAAGGUAAGUUUCCUCUAGUUUGUAAGGAACUAUUUUCAAUGAAAGUAUAAGACCAAAGCUACAUCAAUUUAACCCUAGAAUUUCAGUCAUCAUUUGAGAAAGAAAGGGAAGAGUGCUUAUAGGAUGCUCCUCGGAAGAUUCCAAAGGCACCUGAGGUUAGUUCCCUUGAACACAGCAGGAUGGACCUUCCCAAUCCGGUUGAAUGAGAUUCUUUCCUGUCCAUAAAUAAGGCAAAGGGACUUCCUAACUUCUCUGUCUACUUUCGUACCUCAU